GUGGGGAAUUUUGGACAAUGGGCGCAAGCCUGAUCCAGCAAUGCCGCGUGCAGGAUGAAGGCCUUCGGGUUGUAAACUGCUUUUGUACGGAACGAAAAGCCCUGGGUUAAUACCCUGGGGUCAUGACGGUACCGUAAGAAUAAGCACCGGCUAACUACGUGCCAGCAGCCGCGGUAAUACGUAGGGUGCGAGCGUUAAUCGGAAUUACUGGGCGUAAAGCGUGCGCAGGCGGUUUUGUAAGAUCGAUGUGAAAUCCCCGGGCUCAACCUGGGAACUGCAUUGGUGACUGCAAGGCUGGAGUGCGGCAGAGGGGGAUGGAAUUCCGCGUGUAGCAGUGAAAUGCGUAGAUAUGCGGAGGAACACCGAUGGCGAAGGCAAUCCCCUGGGCCUGCACUGACGCUCAUACACGAAAGCGUGGGGAGCAAACAGGAUUAGAUACCCGGGUAGUCC
rnacentral:rRNA from 1 species